GGGGAUCUAGCUCAGCGGUAGAGCACUUGCCUAGCAAGCGUGAGGCCCUGGGUUCGGUUCCCAGCUCCA
rfam:Rattus norvegicus chromosome 15, whole genome shotgun sequence.